rnacentral:misc_RNA from 1 species
GAAUACCAGCAGAAAAGGCUUUGUCCAUUGUCCUAUCAAGAUCUUCUUUAUCAUCUCUAGCAAUUCCAAGAUCAAGAACCUUGCAUUGUUGCUGUAUUGCAGCUGCAAGUAACAUAGCACGAUUGGAGUCCCUAAUCUGGCCACGACUUAGACAAGCAGUUGUCGGUUCCACAAGUUCAUCUCCUGAGGAAAGCACAGCAAUUGUUGGUGUAGGAUAUACCUUCACUGUCAGAACACCAACAGUAGCAAGCAGGCCAAUUUCUGAAGCGCCUAAUCUUUCUCCAGAUUUUAAUACUAUGGCAUACUUCUCAAUGUCACAUCCCACAGGACGAAUAUCAACACCUUUGCUAGUCUUCACCAAUAUUCUUACUCGUUUUGAUUCAACUGAACCAUCAUCAACUACUUCAGUAUCCUCAACCUGAACAACUGCAUCAGCACCAUCGGGUAUCGGUCCUCCAGUCGUUACAUAAGCAACAGUCCCAGGAGUGACAGUCACACCAAGCCCAUCAUUCCCAGCUCUUGAUUCAGUAAUUAUCGGAUAUUCACCAGGCCCAUCUGAAGCAACUACUGCAUAACCAUCCUUGAUUGAAGCUGGGUAUGGAGGCAAAGGGUCAGGCGCACGAAUAUCCUCGGCCAGGACCUUACCCAAAGCAUCGUGGAGUGGCACCAUUAUUGGUGGUAGCCGCUGAGCCACCGAGAGAACCGUCGCUAGAGCCUCCUCCACUGAUAUCAUCGUGGGUUUUGUGGUGGCAUAGGUUGGUGUUUGCUUUCCGUUUAGCCCCAUUUUGGAGAAUAAUAAAGCUAAGACGAUAGAGAGAGAGAGUUGGACUCUGGAGUUUGGACUCCGCCGGCUGAGAAGAUGGUAAGACCCUUUGAUUCGUCUUGAAGUUCCAAAAUUUGUCUUGAAG